rnacentral:rRNA from 1 species
UACGUAGGGUGCGAGCGUUGUCCGGAAUUACUGGGCGUAAAGAGCUCGUAGGUGGUUUGUCGCGUUGUUCGUGAAAACUCACAACUCAAUUGUGGGCGUGCGGGCGAUACGGGCAGACUGGAGUACUGCAGGGGAGACUGGAAUUCCUGGUGUAGCGGUGGAAUGCGCAGAUAUCAGGAGGAACACCGGUGGCGAAGGCGGGUCUCUGGGCCGAUACUGACGCUGAGGAGCGAAAGCGUGGGGAGCAAACAGG